GACGUAGGGCGCGAGCGUUGUCCGGAUUUAUUGGGCGUAAAGAGCUCGUAGGCGGCUUGUCGCGUCGACUGUGAAAACCCGCGGCUCAACUGCGGGCCUGCAGCCGAUACGGGCAGGCUAGAGUUCGGUAGGGGAGACUGGAAUUCCUGGUGUAGCGGUGAAAUGCGCAGAUAUCAGGGAGGGAACACCGGUGGGCGAAAGGUGGGUCUCUGGGCCGAUACUGACGCUGGAGACGCGAAAGCGUGGGGAGCAAACAGG
rnacentral:rRNA from 1 species